rnacentral:rRNA from 1 species
UGCGUAGGCGGAUUAAUAAGUCAGUGGUGAAAUCUUUCGGCUCAACCGAGAAACUGCCAUUGAUACUGUUAAUCUUGAGUUCGGUUGAGGUAGGCGGAAUGUGUAAUGUAGCGGUGAAAUGCUUAGAUAUUACACAGAACACCAAUUGCGUAGGCAGCUUACUAGACCGACACUGACGCUGAGGCACGAAAACGUGGGGAGCGAACAGGAUUAGAUACCCUGGUAGUCC